UCUUCCGCAAUGGACGAAAGUCUGACGGAGCAACGCCGCGUGAGUGAUGAUGGCUUUCGGAUCGUAAAACUCUGUUGUUAGGGAAGAACAAGUACCGGUCGAAUAGGGCGGCACCUUGACGGUACCUAACCAGAAAGCCACGGCUAACUACGUGCCAGCAGCCGCGGUAAUACGUAGGUGGCAAGCGUUGUCCGGAAUUAUUGGGCGUAAAGCGCGCGCAGGCGGUGUCUUGAGUCUGAUGUCAAAGCCCCCGGCUCAACCGGGGAGGGUCAUUGGAAACUGGGGAACUUGAGUGCAGAAGAGGAGAGUGGAAUUCCACGUGUAGCGGUGAAAUGCGUAGAGAUGUGGAGGAACACCAGUGGCGAAGGCGACUCUCUGGUCUGUAACUGACGCUGAGGAGCGAAAGCGUGGGGAGCGAACAAG
rnacentral:rRNA from 1 species